CUAGAGAGGGGACAUGCUGCUGCUUCCAGGAGCUGCUUGAGACAGUGUUAUCUCAAAAGCACUUUAUGCUUCAGGCUUCUAAAGCAACACAGUUUAAAAAAACAAGCUGAAAAGUUGAGUUCUUGCAGGGGGAAUCCCCCGAGCUGUGGACAAUACCUGCUGCUUUUGGCUCAGGAUUAUUAGGACAUCCCAGGCUUUGAAGGUCCCAAAGAUCAAGUGAAAAAACAGAAACAAAUCAACAAUGUGAAAAACUUUGCAAAUCUGGAAAACCAACCCCAGCACAAUGCGAUUUGGCAGAGAAACGUCUUAUUUCAGCUAGAACAUCCCCUCUUCUCUUCAAGUCUGGGUCUCACAGCUACUUGGCUAUAAUUUACAGACAUCCACUGUGCCUUUUCCAGCACAAUAGAAUACAGCCAGCUAUAUUACCACGGGAGGAUUCAUGCCAGACAGCAGUAUUCCGGCUUGGAGCCUGCAGAGGGAAGUGAUCCUGCAUGAAAGUCAGAAGUGUUCCCAGAAACAACAAAACUAGAUGGCCUAUUUCUUAUGAGGUUAGAUGAACCAAAUUAGGGUUUAUGAUUAAUUCCAGGUCUACAUACAGAAAAUUCCUCCAGCAGAUCGAAAAAGGCCCUUUGCGCUGCUGCUCUAAGCCCUGGUCUACUUGACGAGUUGAGGUCAAAUUUAGCAGCGUUAGAUCGAUUUAACCCUGCACCCAUCCACACAAUUAAGCCAUUUUUUCCAACUUAAAGGGCUCUUAAAAUCGA